rnacentral:rRNA from 1 species
UAGGGAAUCUUCCACAAUGGACGCAAGUCUGAUGGAGCAACGCCGCGUGAGUGAAGAAGGCUUUCGGGUCGUAAAACUCUGUUAUUGAAGAAGAACGUGUGUGACAGUAACUGGUCAUGCAGUGACGGUAUUCAAUCAGAAAGUCACGGCUAACUACGUGCCAGCAGCCGCGGUAAUACGUAGGUGGCAAGCGUUGUCCGGAUUUAUUGGGCGUAAAGCGAGUGCAGGCGGUCUUUUAAGUCUGAUGUGAAAGCCUUCGGCUUAACCGAAGAAGGGCAUCGGAAACUGGGAGACUUGAGUGCAGAAGAGGAGAGUGGAACUCCAUGUGUAGCGGUGAAAUGCGUAGAUAUAUGGAAGAACACCAGUGGCGAAGGCGGCUCUCUGGUCUGUAACUGACGCUGAGGCUCGAAAGCGUGGGUAGCAAACAGGAUUAGAUACC